AAGACUGGGAUAACUCCGGGAAACCGGGGCUAAUACCGGAUAACUCAGUUCCUCGCAUGAGGAACGGUUGAAAGGUGGCUUUUCGCUACCACUUACAGAUGGACCCGCGGCGCAUUAGCUAGUUGGUGAGGUAACGGCUCACCAAGGCGACGAUGCGUAGCCGACCUGAGAGGGUGAUCGGCCACACUGGGACUGAGACACGGCCCAGACUCCUACGGGAGGCAGCAGUGG
rnacentral:rRNA from 1 species